CCCCCCCCCCCCCCCCCCCCCCCCCCCCCCCCCCCCCCCCCCCCCCCCCCCCCCCCCCCCCCCCCCCCCCCCUGAUGUGGAAGAUCCUCCAGGAGCCCUGCAUUCCACAAAUAGUGACACUGUAUUUCACCCGCCUAUUUGUCCACCUGCUCUUCCAAGCGUACUUCAGCACUUUGCAUACACCAGAGGAGGUCGAUGAAUUCUGGAAGACAUGCCAGAAAGAACACGGCUUUGCUGCCAGCCCCAACAGGUUUGCCCUGGAGACCCUCAAGUCCCUGCUCUGCCGAAUGCAGUGUGAGGGUGUGGUGAUGGCAAUGGAGCGCAAGUGUGGCUGGGACAUGCUGCUGUCUGCUGACACCCAGCACUAUGCCGUGGGUCUGCUGGUCAGAGUAAUGCGCUCCUCAUCCAUACCCUUGUCUUCUGGGAUUGCAUUGUACCUGCUCAGGCUGCUCAGCAUGGCGACCUCUCUGGCCUCUUGUAGCCACAGCUGCCUGCGACGGUGCCCGUGCCCUGUGUUCCUGUCUGGGCCCAGCCCUGUGCGGUUCUGGGCUCCUGUGUGUCCCCUGUCACUGCCCUCUGCCUUUCAGGUCCUGGGCUGCUUGGAUGUGACCAAAUACGGGGCCAGUCUCCUUGAGAUCAUCUCAACGAACCUGCAGAGCGAGUGCAGGGAGAGGCGUCACCUGGCGCUCAGAUGCCUCAUGGUGCUUGGCCCCAUGAAUCCAGCCAUGGCAAAAAAAAUGUGGAAUCUGACUGAGAACCUUGUGGACGUCCUGCAGGAAAAUGAUAGCUUCAUGGUCAGGAUGACCAUCGUUGUACUCAGAUAUUUGUUCCUCUAUAACGGUGCCCCUAUACGCAGCCCCGUCGCCCUGCGGCUGGCUGAGGCGCUCCUGCCACUCUUUGACAGCGAUGAUAGCCAGGUGCAGCUGGGUUCAAUCACCGUAUUUGAAGAGAUGAUAGAUUUAUUAAGGAAAGAGGAAAGAAAGGCCCUGAAGACACAGGUGUGGCAGAGGCUGCUCCCCCUCUUCAUCCACUGCCAUGAUGAGAACCCGCGUGUGGCAGAGGUGAGGACUCGUGGGCUGCUGGUGUCCCCCUGGGAGGGGCUCGGCUGCCUCCUGCCCUGCUGCCUGGCGGGCUGCAGCCUCCUCCAGGCCUUAGCACAGGGACACGGGUCCUGUGCCCUGAAUUGCGGGGACAUCUCCACAUCUCUGCUGCUCUCCAGGCCUCUCAGCAAGCGCUGCUUCGUGUGGCUGAGUUCCUGAAGAGGAGAAAUCUCAUGCAGCUCGUGAAUACAGCGGAGCUGUGGCAGUUCGCCGAGUGCCUGGUAAGGACGGCCUGGAAGCGCCAGGCUGAGGCUGGAGCAGCCCCCUGAGCGCGGCGCUCACCGUGUGCGCUUGGCAGCUGUGGCCCUGCCCAGCGCUGCACGCAGGGGCCGCACGGGCUCUUCUCCCGGCUCCUGCGGCCCCGAGCCGGCUGCCCACGGAGCCCCGGCCCAGCGGGGCUGCGGGCCGGGCCGGCACCGCGGCUCCUCGGGCACAGCCGGCCCUGUGCCCUGCAGAGCCCGGGCCAGCGGCUGGGGCCCCCCCCCC
rnacentral:lncRNA from 12 species